rnacentral:rRNA from 1 species
UACGGAGGGGGCUAGCGUUGUUCGGAAUUACUGGGCGUAAAGCGCACGUAGGCGGACCUGCAAGUCGGGGGUGAAAGCCCGAGGCUCAACCUCGGAACUGCCUUCGAUACUGCGGGUCUCGAGUCCGGGAGAGGUGAGUGGAAUUCCUAGUGUAGAGGUGAAAUUCGUAGAUAUUAGGAAGAACACCAGUGGCGAAGGCGGCUCACUGGCCCGGUACUGACGCUGAGGUGCGAAAGCGUGGGGAGCAAACAGG